rnacentral:tRNA from 1 species
GCCGGGAUAUUUCAGUUGGUAGAGCA